UAGGGAAUCUUCCGCAAUGGACGAAAGUCUGACGGAGCAACGCCGCGUGAGCGAAGAAGGCCUUCGGGUCGUAAAGCUCUGUUGUCAGGGAAGAACAAGUAUCGGAGUAACUGCCGGUACCUUGACGGUACCUGACGAGAAAGCCACGGCUAACUACGUGCCAGCAGCCGCGGUAAUACGGCUAACUACGUG
rnacentral:rRNA from 1 species